GAGAUCUUAGUUAAAAUAUAUAACAUAAACUUGUCAAGUCUAAAUCACUAAAUUAGUAAAUCUCU
rnacentral:tRNA from 1 species